rnacentral:rRNA from 1 species
UACGUAGGGCGCGAGCGUUAAUCGGAAUUACUGGGCGUAAAGCGUGCGCAGGCGGUUUGUUAAGACAGAUGUGAAAUCCCCGGGCUUAACCUGGGAACUGCAUUUGUGACUGGCAAGCUAGAGUAUGGCAGAGGGGGGUAGAAUUCCACGUGUAGCAGUGAAAUGCGUAGAGAUGUGGAGGAAUACCGAUGGCGAAGGCAGCCCCCUGGGCCAAUACUGACGCUCAUGCACGAAAGCGUGGGGAGCAAACAGG